CAGGGAGACAACAAAAUGUUUAAUAUUAUUAUUUUGUCACCUUAGGUCGAUCGGUAUCUCACAUUCUUAAUUUAUUAAGGAUUUUAUUUCCUAAGUUUUUUCUAGGUCACACCCAUUACUUUUCCUGGGCCAUUAGCUCAGGUGGUUAGAGCGCACCCCUGAUAAGGGUGAGGUCCCUGGUUCAAGUCCAGGAUGGCCCAUAUCUCUAUGUUGGGGGUAUAGCUCAGUUGGUAGAGCGCCUGCUUUGCAAGCAGGAUGUCAGCGGUUCGAGUCCGCUUACCUCCACUGAUUACCACCUCUUCCAUAAUUAUUAAGGAAAUGUUUUGAGUAGUGAUCAAAUUCUGAACGAAUCUAGCUUCCUAAUGUAUUCAUUAAGAUGCUGGACUCAUUGAAUUAUUUUCAUUGUUUUCAGAGAACCUUGACAACUGCAUAGAUUAUUUUUAAAGACAAUAAGCAUCUUUAUGAUGCAGAUUUAUUAUUUGUGCGAAUGCAUUAAUAACAAUUCUAUUAAGCUGAUGCUUCAAUUAUGAAGUUAUU
rnacentral:tRNA from 1 species